UGCCCAGCAGCUCCUAUCCCUACCUCCUCGCGGUACUGGCCGGGGUACGAGUAACCUUAGGGAAGAUCGGGUAACCAACCCCCGGUGGGAACUUUGGUCGUAUGCUGACAGGGAAGG
rnacentral:ribozyme from 1 species